rnacentral:rRNA from 1 species
GCUCAACCGGGGAGGGUCAUUGGAAACUGGGGAACUUGAGUGCAGAAGAGGAGAGUGGAAUUCCACGUGUAGCGGUGAAAUGCGUAGAGAUGUGGAGGAACACCAGUGGCGAAGGCGACUCUCUGGUCUGUAACUGACGCUGAGGCGCGAAAGCGUGGGGAGCGAACAGGAUUAGAUACCCUGGUAGUCCACGCCGUAAACGAUGAGUGCUAAGUGUUAGAGGGUUUCCGCCCUUUAGUGCUGCAGCAAACGCAUUAAGCACUCCGCCUGGGGAGUACGGUCGCAAGACUGAAACUCAAAGGAAUUGACGGGGGCCCGCACAAGCGGUGGAGCAUGUGGUUUAAUUCGAAGCAACGCGAAGAACCUACCAGGUCUUGACAUCCUCUGACAACCCUAGAGAUAGGGCUUCCCCUUCGGGGGCAGAGUGACAGGUGGUGCAUGGUUGUCGUCAGCUCGUGUCGUGAGAUGUUGGGUUAAGUCCCGCAACGAGCGCAACCCUUGAUCUUAGUUGCCAGCAUUCAGUUGGGCACUCUAAGGUGACUGCCGGUGACAAACCGGAGGAAGGUGGGGAUGACGUCAAAUCAUCAUGCCCCUUAUGACCUGGGCUACACACGUGCUACAAUGGGCAGAACAAAG